rnacentral:rRNA from 1 species
AGUGAACGCUGGCGGCAGGCCCAACACAUGCAAGUCGAACGGCAGCACAAGAGAGCUUGCUCUCUGGGUGGCGAGUGGCGGACGGGUGAGGAAUACGUCGGAAUCUGCCUAUUUGUGGGGGAUAACGUAGGGAAACUUACGCUAAUACCGCAUACGACCUACGGGUGAAAGCGGAGGACCUUCGGGCUUCGCGCAGAUAGAUGAGCCGACGUCGGAUUAGCUAGUUGGCGGGGUAAAGGCCCACCAAGGCGACGAUCCGUAGCUGGUCUGAGAGGAUGAUCAGCCACACUGGAACUGAGACACGGUCCAGACUCCUACGGGAGGCAGCAGUGGGGAAUAUUGGACAAUGGGCGCAAGCCUGAUCCAGCCAUGCCGCGUGGGUGAAGAAGGCCUUCGGGUUGUAAAGCCCUUUUGUUGGGAAAGAAAAGCAGCCGGUUAAUACCCGGUUGUCAUGACGGUACCCAAAGAAUAAGCACCGGCUAACUUCGUGCCAGCCGCCGCGGUAAAAC